CGAACGCUGGCGGCGUGCCUAAUACAUGCAAGUCGAGCGCGGGAAGCAGGUUGAUCCUCUUCGGAGGUGACAUCUGUGGAACGAGCGGCGGAUGGGUGAGUAACACGUGGGCAACCUGCCUAUAAGCUCGGGAUAACUCGCGGAAACGCGAGCUAAUACCGAAUAAUACUUUGCUUCGCAUGAAGCAAAGAUAAAAGAUGGCUUUUUGCUGUCACUUAUAGAUGGGCCCGCGUCGCAUUAGUUAGUUGGUGAGGUAAAGGCUCACCAAAGCAACGAUGCGUAGCUGACCUGAGAGGGUGAUCGGCCACACUGGGACUGAGACACGGCCCAGACCCCUACGGGAGGCAGCAGUAGGGAAUCUUCCGCAAUGGACGAAAGUCUGACGGAGCAACGCCGCGUGAGUGAUGAAGGUCUUCGGAUCGUAAAACUCUGUUGUCAGGGAAGAACAAGUACUAGCCGAAUAAGUUAGUACCUUGACGGUACCUGACCAGAAAGCCCCGGCUAACUACGUGCCAGCCGCUGC
rnacentral:rRNA from 1 species